rnacentral:rRNA from 1 species
GAUGAACGCUGGCGGCGUGCCUAAUACAUGCAAGUCGAGCGAACAGACGAGGAGCUUGCUCCUCUGACGUUAGCGGCGGACGGGUGAGUAACACGUGGAUAACCUACCUAUAAUACUGGGAUAACUUCGGGAAACCGGAGCUAAUACCGGAUAAUAUAUUGAACCGCAUGGUUCAAUAGUGAAAGACGGUUUUGCUGUCACUUAUAGAUGGAUCCGCGCCGCAUUAUCUAGUUGGUAAGGUAACGGCUUACCAAGGCAACGAUGCGUAGCCGACCUGAGAGGGAGAUCGGACACACGGAAAAUGAGACGGGGUCCAGACUCAUACGGGAGGCAGGAGUAGGGAAUCGUCCGAAAGGGGCGAAAGCUAGACGGAGAAACCCCGCGUGAGUGAAGAAGGUUUGGGGAGCGAAAACCUCUGUUAGGAGGAAAAAAGAAAUGUGUAAGUAACUAGGCGCGUUUUGACGGUCCAAAAAAAGAAAGCCACGGAAAAUUACG